UGGCGGACGGGUGAGUAACGCGUAAAGAACUUGCCCUUCAGACUGGGAUAACAGAGGGAAACUUCUGAUAAUACUGGAUAAGUUAGUAUAUCGCAUGAUAUGCAAAUGAAAGCUACGGCACUAAAGGAGAGCUUUGCGUCCUAUUAGCUAGUUGGUAAGGUAAGAGCUUACCAAGGCGAUGAUAGGUAGCCGGCCUGAGAGGGUGGACGGCCACAAGGGGACUGAGAUACGGCCCUUACUCCUCGGGAGGCAGCAGUA
rnacentral:rRNA from 1 species